rnacentral:rRNA from 1 species
AGGGGACCCCGAGUGCGAGGGCAUAUGGUCCUCUAUUUUCUGGACUGUAGGGAGGUCCACGAAUAAGGCUUGGGCAAGACCGGUGCCAGCCGCCGCGGUGAUACCGGUAGCCCGAGUGAUGUCCGAGUUUAUUGGGACUAAGCCGUCCGUAGACGGNCAGAUGGCUUCGUCGGGAAAUCUGCACGNCCGACGUGCAGGCGUGCGGCGGAAACUAGCUGGCUUGGGGCCGGAGGACCCAGGGGGUACGUCCGGGGUAGGAGUGAAAUCCCGUAAUCCCGGACGGACCACCGGUGGCGAAAGCGCCCUGGGAGGACGGACCCGACGGUGAGGGACGAAAGCUAGGGUCACGAACCGGAUUAGAUACCCGGGUAGUCCUAGCCGUAAACGAUGCCCGCUAGGUGUGGCGCAGGCUACGAGCCUGUGCUGUGCCACAGCGAAGGCGCUAAGCGGGCCGCCUGGGAAGUACGUCCGCAAGGAUGAAACUUAAAGGAAUUGGCGGG